rnacentral:rRNA from 1 species
AUUGAACGCUGGCGGCAGGCUUAACACAUGCAAGUCGAGCGGAGAUGAGGUGCUUGCACCUUAUCUUAGCGGCGGACGGGUGAGUAAUGCUUAGGAAUCUGCCUAUUAGUGGGGGACAACAUUCCGAAAGGAAUGCUAAUACCGCGUACGCCCUACGGGGGAAAGCAGGGGAUCUUCGGACCUUGCGCUAAUAGAUGAGCCUAAGUCGGAUUAGCUAGUUGGUGGGGUAAAGGCCUACCAAGGCGACGAUCUGUAGCGGGUCUGAGAGGAUGAUCCGCCACACUGGGACUGAGACACGGCCCAGACUCCUACGGGAGGCAGCAGUGGGGAAUAUUGGACAAUGGGCGCAAGCCUGAUCCAGCCAUGCCGCGUGUGUGAAGAAGGCCUUAUGGUUGUAAAGCACUUUAAGCGAGGAGGAGGCUACUUUAGAUAAUACCUAGAGAUAGUGGACGUUACUCGCAGAAUAAGCACCGGCUAACUCUGUGCCAGCCGCCGCAGUAAAAC